AUUGAACGCUGGCGGCAGGCCUAACACAUGCAAGUCGAGCGGAGCGGCGGACGGGUGAGUAAUGCCUAGGAAUCUGCCUGGUAGUGGUGGAUAACGUCCGGAAACGGGCGCUAAUACCGCAUACUCUCAGAUGAGCCUGGGUCGGAUUAGCUAGUUGGGGGGGUAAAGGCCUACCAAGGCGACGAUCCGUAACUGGUCUGAGAGGAUGAUCAUGAACACUGGAACUGAGAAACGGUCCAGACUCCUACGGGAGGCAGCAGUGGGGAAUAUUGGACAAUGGGCGAAAGCCUGAUCCAGCCAUGCCGCGUGUGUGAAGAAGGUCUUCGGAUUGUAAAGCACUUUAAGUGGGGAGGCGUUACCCGCAGAAGAAGCACCGGCUAACUCCGUGCCAGCAGCCGCGGUAAUAC
rnacentral:rRNA from 1 species